GUGGGGAAUUUUGGACAAUGGGCGCAAGCCUGAUCCAGCAAUGCCGCGUGCAGGAAGAAGGCCUUCGGGUUGUAAACUGCUUUUGUACGGAACGAAACGGUCCUGGUUAAUACCCGGGGCUAAUGACGGUACCGUAAGAAUAAGCACCGGCUAACUACGUGCCAGCAGCCGCGGUAAUACGUAGGGUGCAAGCGUUAAUCGGAAUUACUGGGCGUAAAGCGUGCGCAGGCGGUGCUGUAAGACAGGCGUGAAAUCCCCGGGCUUAACCUGGGAAUUGCGGUUGUGACUGCAGUGCUGGGGUGCGGCAGAGGGGGAUGGAAUUCCGCGUGUAGCAGUGAAAUGCGUAGAUAUGCGGAGGAACACCGAUGGCGAAGGCAAUCCCCUGGGCCUGCACUGACGCUCAUGCACGAAAGCGUGGGGAGCAAACAGGAUUAGAUACCCCGGUAGUCC
rnacentral:rRNA from 1 species